CCUACGGGUGGCUGCAGUAAGGAAUAUUGGUCAAUGGACGAAAGUCUGAACCAGCCAUGCCGCGUGGAGGAUGAAGGUCCUCUGGAUUGUAAACUUCUUUUAUAUGGGACGAAAAAAGGCCUUUCUAGGCCGUCUGACGGUACCAUAUGAAUAAGCACCGGCUACCUCCGUGCCAGCAGCCGCGGUACUACGGGGGGUGCCAGCGUUACCCGGAUUCACUGGGUUGAAGGUGUGUUUAUAAGGCAGGGUUGAAAUCUCCGAGCUUAACUUGGAAACUGCCAUUGAUACUAUUAAUCUUGAAUAUUGUGGAGGUUAGCGGAAUAUGUCAUGUAGCGGUGAAAUGCUUAGAUAUGACAUAGAACACCAAUUGCGAAGGCAGCUGGCUACACAUAUAUUGACACUGAGGCACGAAAGCGUGGGGAUCAAACAGGAUUAGAUACCCCUGUAGUC
rnacentral:rRNA from 1 species